rnacentral:lncRNA from 1 species
UUUUUUAUUUUCCCUCUUUCUCAUUAUUAAACCGCUAUCCAACCACGUUUCCCAACCUAAUUCUGGUGAUUAAAGGGAAAAUUGAACUUGACGACUUGUUCAAUCGCUAGAAGGAGUCAACUGCCGGUGAUCGGAGGGUUACCAUUGGUUCAAUCGCAACCUCAACCACCUUCAAUUUUAGACAGUAUGUGUAGGCGCCAACAGCUACGUAUCACUUCUACAGACAUUAGUAAAAUGCAAGAUUAUCAAUCAAAUUCUCAUGAUGCACAUGGAAAAGGAAAUGAGUAUUUGGAAGCUAGACUAGUGAGGAUUCAGGAGAACCAAAAAAGACUACGAGAAUUUGGAGUUAAAAACAUUGUGGACUCUAUGGAAGUCUGGUAGACAGUAACAAAAUGAAGAAAAAACAGUGAAGAACACUCAUGCGGGGGAUGUAGACUAUAUUCCAGAUCCAGGUGAUGAUUGUGAGGAAGAUAACCAACAAGUUGGUAGAAGUGUUAUAGUACCCAAAAAGCGACACCGUUCACAAUAUAUUCCACCAAUGUCCAUGAAUAGAGCUGCUAAUCUCACGAAACUACGCUGGGUGCUUGCUCCAAAUGUCUCUCAAAAGGUUCCAUCUACUUCAAAUGCAACAAAACCGAAUAAAGCAGGAGCAAAUAGAAGGAUGAUUCUUGUUGAUGAGGAUGACGACGAGGACGAGGAAAUAUUUCAAGGUAACACAGUGGAUAUGAAGUAAAUGACGCGUAUAAAGACAUAGACGAUACAAUAGACGAGAUACAAAUGGUAGAUCACAACUAUUCUGAAGAUGAACACAAUGAUCAAGAACAAUUGCACGGCCCUGAAAAAGAUAAAGCAACAGAUGCUCCCAAAAAGGUUAGAGGUCAUACCCAAAAGGCCGAAAUAUGGAAAAUGAAUACUACCGAAAGAAUAGCCGUCACAUUUAACGACUUUGGACAACUAGUGGGGGAAGAAGGCAAAGAACUUGCUUAGUAUCUUGGGACACUUGUGAGGAUGGCUGAUCAUGUAUCAAUUGAGUAUUCUGACCGGAGAAAAAGUUCCCAUGAAAAAUAAAGAGGAUAUGUAUUCACUUGUUAAGUCCAAAUUUGCUAUUCAUCCAGAUGAAACAGGUCAGGUUAAAGAAUGGAUAUUCCAAAACAUGGGGAAAAAUGGAGAACGUGGAAAGGUUUAUUAAAGUCACGUGGAUAUGAUCCCAGCCUUACUAGUGACGAAAUUGUGACGCAACAAACUAAUAAUGACGAUAGAGUGAAUCCAACUCAAUUUAAAGAACUUGUUACUCGUUGGUUCACUCCGAAAUUUCAGACUACAUGCGCUGCAAAAAGAUUGAGCUGCUCAAAGAUGGAGCCUCAUGUAACCGGGACAAAGUCGUUUGCUAGACUUGCUCAUGAAGUGGCAACGAAGAAUGCUGGUGUAUACCCGACCCGAGGAGAAAUGUGUAUAAUAACAACUCACACUCAUAAGACCAAAGUUUUGUUGAUGAUAAAGCAGCUAACGUUGUGGCUUCACUAAAAGCUAUUGCAAGUGACUCUGCAAGCAAACCCAUAGAUUCGCAUGAUUUUACAAAUGAUGAAUACUCAAAAGUUAAAGGCCCAAAGAAAAGAGGGUAUGUUCGAUUAGUUGGAAGAAUGCCAGCCAUAAAGAGUAACGGUGAUUCUUCGACUAAUUCACAUACUAUUCAUCAGCUACAGAGUGUUGUGAACGUUAUGAUGAACAUUAUCCAAGAACGUAUCCCCGAUGCAAACUUGCCUACAGUUCUUAGCAAUAUGAACAUACAGGUCCCUCGCGUUGGUUCUUCGGCUCCUAGCAACUCGUUACCUAGCAACGAAUUAUGAUCUUCAAGAAGUGACGAUAUUGAUGACACAGCUGACAACAUGUGAAGCCUUGGAGGAAUAGAGAUAACAAGAUUAAUGAGCUUGGAACUAAGUUUUUUUAAAGUAUGAUUGUAUCGAAAGACCGUUUUGACUUCUUUUGUAGACAUUCAUUUGUUUGCUAAGAUUUAUAGUAUGUUUUGGAUCCAACUUUUAGUUGAAAUUAUGACAUUAUUAUUUUUCU